AUUGAACGCUGGCGGCAUGCCUUACACAUGCGAGUCGAACGGUAACAGGUCUUCGGAUGCUGACGAGUGGCGAACGGGUGAGUAAUACAUCGGAACGUGCCUAGUAGUGGGGGAUAACUACUCGAAGGAGUGGCUAAUACCGCAUGAGAUCUACGGAUGAAAGCAGGGGAUCGCCAGACCUUGUGCUACUAGAGCGGCCGAUGGCAGAUUAGGUAGUUGGUGGGAUAAAAGCUUACCAAGCCGACGAUCUGUAGCUGGUCUGAGAGGACGAUGAGCCACACUGGGACUGAGACAGGGCCCAGACUCCUACGGGAGGCAGCAGUGGGGAAUUUUGGACAGUGGGCGCAAGCCUGAUCCAGGAAUGCCGCGUGCAGGAUGAAGGCCUUCGGGUUGUAAACUGCUUUUGUACGGAACGAAAGGCCCUGGGUUAAUACCCUGGGGUCAUGACGGUACCGUAAGAAUAAGCACCGGCUAACUACGUGCCAGCCGCCGCGGUAACAC
rnacentral:rRNA from 1 species